UAACUUAUCUCUUUAGUUCCAUAUUUUCAUUUCCAUUACGAAACAACGCCAUUUCAACCUUGAAUGAAUAUACGACAUUGCAACCCUAACCAAAAAACACCAUUGCAACCCUAACGAUACAAAACCUGUAUCAACCCUAACCAAACGUACAAUAUCAUCUUCAAACCUGGAGAAAUGUUUUCAACCAACUUAUGUGCUUUCGUACCGUCGAGGAAGGAGCCGACGUCGUAUUCUUCGUUCUUGACUAGCCUUCGAUUUAGCUUUCGAGGAGGAACUCAAAGAAGGAUCCAACACCAUUUUUUUAUUUAUUCAUCACGUUUCUGUUGACGUUUGAGUUUAGUGAUGAUUCGAAGUUGAAAAAAAGUGGAUCACUAAUGCUAGUACGUCUUGGAGGAGUUUUAAGUCACCACUCACGAAUGACUACAUUACGACGCCUAAGCCUAAUAUUGACCGCCCGUGGGUGAAAUAUCCUUUUCUUGACAAGAAGGAUUGGAGAAAGUUUGUGAAGCUUCGUAGUUCUUAAAAGUUCAUGGAAAGGUGAAAAAGGCCAAAAAAAAUACCCCUAUAGAUUAUCUCGUGGAGGAUACAGAAAACUUGAGAAAACAAUGAUUGCUAAAAAAAGACAACAACUAGGAGAUGCAGACUCCAUGAGUUGUGAUCGGGAACUAUCCCCACCAUCAUUACAUGAGAAGUGGAAGAGGGGUCG